rnacentral:rRNA from 1 species
UGGGGAAUCUUGCACAAUGGGGGCAACCCUGAUGCAGCGACGCCGCGUGAGCGAUGAAGCCCUUCGGGGCGUAAAGCUCUUUCGACCGGAACGAUAAGGACGGUACCGGGAGAAGAAGCUGCGGCUAACUACGUGCCAGCAGCCGCGGUAAUACGUAGGCAGCAAGCGUUGUUCGGAGUUACUGGGCGUAAAGAGUGCGUAGGCGGUUUUCUAAGUUCGGUGUGAAAUCUCCCGGCUUAACUGGGAGGGUGCGCCGAAGACUGGGAAGCUGGAGUGUGGGAAAGGCAGGCGGAAUUCCUGGUGUAGCGGUGAAAUGCGUAGAUAUCAGGAGGAACACCUGCGGUGUAGACGGCUUGCUAGACCAUAACUGCCGCUGAGGCACGAAAGCGUGGGUAGCAAACA